UUUAUUGGAACUGGAAUGAAAGGCUCAACAAACACAUAAUUUUUUAUUUUUAGAUGUUAUAAUUUUUAAUUUACGUAAAAAUACGUAAAUGAAUUUAAGGGACGAUAAGACCCUAAAAGCUUUAUUAUUUGAUUUUUGUUAUUAUUUAGAUUUGAUUGUUUAAUGUAUUUUAACUGGGGCGGUUGUUUUUUUAACAAAAAUUUUUUUUACAAAUAGGAUUAAAGAUCCUUAAAAUUAGGAUAGAUUGUUUAAGUUACUUUAGGGAUAACAGCGUUAUAAUAAUAGGGAGACCUUAUUUAUAUUGUUGAUUGCGACCUCGAUGUUGAAUUAAAUUUUUCUAUAUAAAGCAGAAAUUAUAUAUGAAAGUUUGUUCAACUUUUAAAUUUUUACAUGAUCUGAGUUCAAA
rnacentral:rRNA from 1 species